rnacentral:rRNA from 2 species
GAACGAUGAAGCCCAGCUUGCUGGGUGGAUUAGUGGCGAACGGGUGAGUAACACGUGAGCAACGUGCCCGAGACUCUGGAAUAACUACCGGAAACGGUGGCUAAUACUGGAUAUGUGCCAGGGAGGCAUCUCCUCUGGUUGGAAAGAUUUUUCGGUUUCGGAUCGGCUCACGGCCUAUCAGCUUGUUGGUGGGGUAAUGGCCUACCAAGGCGACGACGGGUAGCCGGCCUGAGAGGGUGACCGGCCACACUGGGACUGAGACACGGCCCAGACUCCUACGGGAGGCAGCAGUGGGGAAUAUUGCACAAUGGGCGCAAGCCUGAUGCAGCAACGCCGCGUGAGGGAUGACGGCCUUCGGGUUGUAAACCUCUUUUAGUAGGGAAGAAGCGCAAGUGACGGUACCUGCAGAAAAAGCACCGGCUAACUACGUGCCAGCAGCCGCGGUAAUACGUAGGGUGCAAGCGUUGUCCGGAAUUAUUGGGCGUAAAGAGCUCGUAGGCGGUUUGUCGCGUCUGCUGUGAAAUCCCGAGGCUCAACCUCGGGCCUGCAGUGGGUACGGGCAGACUUGAGUGCGGUAGGGGAGAUUGGAAUUCCUGGUGUAGCGGUGGAAUGCGCAGAUAUCAGGAGGAACACCGAUGGCGAAGGCAGAUCUCUGGGCCGUUACUGACGCUGAGGAGCGAAAGCAUGGGGAGCGAACAGGAUUAGAUACCCUGGUAGUCCAUGCCGUAAACGUUGGGCGCUAGAUGUGGGGACCAUUCCACGGUUU